AUGGAUCGAAGGUCAAACCGGGCCGCCUUCAAACGAGCCGACGCCGGAAAUCCAGCCGCCGCCGCAGCCGAUCUGCCGAGCUGCCGUGAUGCCGGCGCGGCGAAUGGAAGCUGCCACUCCCAGAGGGCCUCGCUGCCUCGCUGCCGCAUCCACAGCCGGUGCAGCAGCCACGCCGGGACGGUGCCCCAACCCGUGCCGCCUGCCGGAAAAUGCCAGAUCCGUCCGGCACGCACCACCACUGCCACCAACCCGCGCCACCCAAGGUCGCCAGCCUACCUCCACCAGCCAUCACUGCCACCGGAGCUACAGCGGCCGCCGGCCCCGCCACCGGUGCCCUCCGCCCGCUGCACCCUGCUGCCGCCGCCAGAACCGCCCGCCGCCACGAACCUCCGCACCAGCCGCUCGCAGUCCCCCGCCACCCCACGACAAGCCGGAUCCACGCAGCCACCACAGCAGCCGUGGCCAUCCGCACCGCCGCCGCCGCGCCCUGCGGGAGCGCCGCGUCCUCGGGUGGCCACCGCAUCCCCCGCUGCAGAGAACCCUGCCGCCGCCUACGACGACCGGGCUUUGCCUAGCGGCGGCGAGGGGGAGGGUACCCCGCUGCCCUUAGCCUUGCCCUCGCUCCAGCAGCCUCAAGUCAAGCCCACUCUCAUCAGCCUUACAUAA
rnacentral:rRNA from 1 species